UACGUAGGGUGCGAGCGUUAAUCGGAAUUACUGGGCGUAAAGUGUGCACGGGCGGCCGCGCAAGUCGAGUGUGAAAGCCCCGAGCUUAACUUGGGAAUUGCGCUCGAAACUACGUGGCUGGAGUGUGGCAGAGGAAGGUGGAAUUCCAGGUGUAGCGGUGAAAUGCGUAGAGAUCUGGAGGAACACCGAUGGCGAAGGCAGCCUUCUGGGCCAACACUGACGCUCAUGCACGAAAGCGUGGGGAGCAAACAGG
rnacentral:rRNA from 1 species